AUUUCCCCAGCCUCCAGAUGGCCGUACAGCUCCCGGCAGUGCCACUCAUGUGGGUGUGCAAGCCACACAGCCAAAGGAAAGAACAGUAUUGUCUGUGGGGAAGUGCCAGGAGGAGCCCCCUAGGAAUCAGAUUGGUUGGAGCUGUUUGAGUAGCAGCUGUUCCAGCCAGUAAGACCAAAAGAGGAAGUUGUAGGCAGAGGUGAGGAGGGAGGAAGCUCCCUGCUCUGGAGGAUUCCAUGGCUGCUGAUGAGUCAAGAGGUGCAAGAUUGUUAUCUUGAAUCACACUAACUUGAAUAUUUAUGGACAGAUUGCCACACAGCAUGUUAAAGCUGCUUGAAGGGAAAAAAUAAAGAAACAUGCAUAUGUAGCAUCCUGAUCCAAAAGGCCAUGGUCAUUCUGUUGCACAUUCCAUAAUAUGGGCUGCCCUAUUUAUUCAAAUGGAGAAAGCAGAACUUUGUGAACCAAGGAAUGCACACCCAAGUCUGUGUCCUCUGUUGGAAAGGGCAAGAAAGCAGCUCUAGGUUGUUAAUAGAAAGAAACUUCCAUGUGCACUUUGGAGCCCUAUACCUAGAAGAAUGUUCAAGAUUGGGACAAUCCACAA